rnacentral:lncRNA from 1 species
GAAUGGGCACAGGAGAUUUAGUCUCAGGUUAAUAUCUCCUCUUUGGAUAAUGUUUAUUGGAUCUUUGAUCUCAUUUUCAACAGCUGAAGACAAAGUUCUAUCAUUGAGAUGAGCAUCUCAUGCUUGAGAUACAGAUACCCAAAAGAGUUCUCCUUGUAAGUUCUUCCUUUCCCUUGUUGCUUGUGACCUUUUAUCAAAUUCUCCAUUCCAUGAGAAACUUCUUUGGGCUUUUGUGAGAUGUUCCAAUCCAAAUGAACAUAGAUAAUGAUGUAUACUUUAUGAACCUUUUCUCCACUACGAAAUUCCUUUUCAAAUAUUUCAAAGUGUCAAAGAACAGAUGUAUCUUCU